rnacentral:rRNA from 1 species
CCUACGGGUGGCAGCAGUGGGGAAUAUUGCACAAUGGGGGAAACCCUGAUGCAGCGACGCCGCGUGAGUGAAGAAGUAAUUCGUUAUGUAAAGCUCUAUCAGCAGGGAGGAAAAUGACGGUACCUGAGUCAGACGCCCCGGCUAACUACGUGCCAGCAGCCGCGGUAAUACGUCGGGGGCCAGCGUUAUCCGGAUUUACUGGGUGUAAAGGGAGCGUAGGCGGUAGUGCAAGUCAGGAGUGAAAGGCGGGGGCUCAACCCCCGGACUGCUCUGGAAACUGUACGGCUGGAGUGCAGGAGAGGGAGGAGGAAUGUCUAGUGUAGCGGUGAAAUGCGUAGAGAUUAGGAGGAACACCAGUGGCGAAGGCAGCUUACUGGGCUGUAACUGACGUUGAGGCUCGAAAGCGUGGGGAGCAAACAGGAUUAGAUACCCGGGUAGUC